GCAGAGGUUCUUUCUUAAAAGGUCACAAUCAACAUUCAUUGCUGUCGGUGGGUUGAACUGUGUGGACAAGCUCACUGAACAAUGAGUGCAACUGUGGCCCCGCAUUAUGCGAGCAUGGUCA
rnacentral:precursor_RNA from 8 species